rnacentral:rRNA from 1 species
UACGUAGAUCCCGAGCGUUGUCCGGAUUUAUUGGGCGUAAAGCGAGCGCAGGUGGUUUAUUAAGUCUGGUGUAAAAGGCAGUGGCUCAACCAUUGUAUGCAUUGGAAACUGGUAGACUUGAGUGCAGGAGAGGAGAGUGGAAUUCCAUGUGUAGCGGUGAGAUGCGUAGAUAUAUGGAGGAACACCGGUGGCGAAAGCGGCUCUCUGGCCUGUAACUGACACUGAGGCUCGAAAGCGUGGGGAGCAAACAGG